rnacentral:snoRNA from 13 species
UAGAGAAGUCAAUGAUGACUUUGAAAAAAUGUCUGAACCUGUCUGAAGCAUCUCAGUGAUGCAAACCUUUUGUGUCUGAGACUUCUCUGAGA